AAAAGGAAGGCUAGAAGGAGCUGGAGUCAAGGAAAUGCCCUUCCACCAAGUGAAAUGUCUUUUUCACUGGAAGUAGGCAUUUGCUAAGGAGAACACUCUCAGCAUACUUCAGAAUGGUUACUUUCCUCUCUUCCUGCCAGAGAUAUGAGCAACAUUGGCAUUCUAUCAGAGAAUAAGAUCAGAGAGCUUGUUGAAGAGUGAAUACUGGGUUCAGUGAUAAAGUGGAUUUCAAGCUAUUACGACAUCACUGAAAAUGGAGUCAUGAGGAGAUUCACACCAUCACCUUUUUCUUAGCCCUUUUUGGGCCAUCUCAGGCACACCACUGAUUGCAUGACAUAGGAGAAAACCCAGAUGACUUUGAGAAUGGUGAUUGCCUUAUUACAUAUAACAGCAAAGAAAUGAUACACGACAGAAAUAAUUGAUAAGGUGGACUUCACAAAAUUCUUAAGUGUCUAUUCUGUAAAAGAGGAUGCCAAUAAAAUUAGAAAAAAAAAACCACAGAAUAUAUUGACAAAAGACACAUCAGAUCAAGGACUGUUAUCCAAAAUAUGCAAGGAACCCUUAAAACCCAACAAUAAGAAAUCAACCUUAUCAAAAUAUGGACCAGAGACCUUAACAGACACUGCAACAAGGAAGAUAUUCAGGUGAUGUUGUACUUCACGUGUCAUCAGGAAAAAGCAAAGCGGUGAGCUACCCCUGUCCACCUGUUAGAAUGCCCCAAAUCUGGAACACUGACACCAAAUACUAGUGAGAGUGUGAAGCAACAGGAACUCUUAUUACUGGUGGGGAUGCAAAAUGGU